GGCAUGGGUGGGGUGGGUAUUUAGUUAAGCGGUAGUGGUAGUGGAAAGUGCAGACACCUCAGAAAGGACAGGCAACCAGGAAAAAGUGCAGAGGGCAAGGUGAAGAUUCUAUAUACAGACAAAGACGGUUAUUGCUUUAACAUUCCAAUCCUUUCUUGCGAGUUUUUCAAGAGUUACCGGAAAUCCGUAACUGAUUGUGUGUGGACAUGACCUGGGAUGAAAUUAAGUGCUUAAAGAGUCAUACUUUGGCAACUUUUCCUUUAGCAGUUCGGCCCUGAUAAUGUUUAAUUUUAUUGCAUCCUGCAGCUAUUAGCAUUGUUCAUACUAGGCCAACCAUUAUGCAGAUUAACACUGAACUAAUGAUCCUCAUGUAUUGUAAAGGUCACAGCAGGCAUGACAGGAUCCAUCUACCUUGUAAUUGUCAUUCCAUUGAAACCUGUGGCAACUCCCCUGAGAAACCUCUUGGCUUUUAACAUAUGUGUCAUUUAUUACUCUGUGACACCCAGCCCCAGUCCUACUUAUUUGCUCAGUGAGUUGUUUUUUUUUUUUUUUAACAAGAACUAGGAGCCACAGAGAAAAAGAGCAUUCAUUUCAUCAAAUUUACACCUAUUUAAUGCUUGAUUAGCUAUAGUAGGAAGGAUAGAUAGAAUGGAGUGAUUUGGAUGUGUAUGGAAGCCAAGUUGGCCAAGAGAUAAUGUUUUAGCCUAUCCACUGAACAUUGUUUAAUUAGCUUAUAAUGACAUAGGUGUGCAUCUGGCCAGUGACAUCAAAACAUUUGGAUCUUGUGUUUAUUAGGUUCUGAAGAGUUAACCACAAUAUUUUUCACACAAACACUCUUCAAAUUUUAUUGAACAGUGAUGAAACCUAUGAUGCUCUGCCACGUAGGUCCCAGUGAAAACAAAUGUACACAAUCUCUACACAUAGUUUAUUUAGACUUCAGUGGGAGAAUGUAAUGUGUUCACAGGUAGGUACUAAACACAAAGCAUAUGAGGUAAGAACUUUAAAAGAAGUGAGAAAUGAACUAUCGCUGUGGUUUCAGUGGAGAGCCAUCUAAAUUCUGAAAUGGGGGCUCCAUAGAUCCAGUGAGAGUGUUCCAGAGGAAUAUUUGGGUGUGUAGGAUUUCAGUAAGCUCAGCAGAUAUCCUUAUGACCAACAUCAGCAUUCAUAGCAGCAGACUUUCCAUCAACACCAUUAAUUACUGAGCUGUAGGUCCUAGAUGCUUUUCAUUUGUUAUUGAUUGCAUUUAAUCCUCCUAUAAACUUUGCACAGUGGGCGUUAUUAACUGUUUUACCGAUAAAGAAACUGGAUAGAAAGGUUAAGCCAUUUCCCCAAGCUCACACAGCUAGCAAAUAACACAAACGGUACUUUAUUCUAGAAUUUGUGUUUUUGCCUCUCACUACCACCACUACCACACUAAUCCGCUCUCAGUUCCAUUUAGUGGAACAUACCUAAGCCAAGACAUCAGGUGGAAAAAUGCAGGAUGAGGUCCUGAGGAAUAUGAGGAGUUAGCACAAAUUUGGAGGUGGGUUUGGGUAGAAAUAAGGCAGUACUAGGCGGUCAGUCUAUUCUUGAGGCGGGUGAUGGUCCCUCUAGAGGGGCAGGUGAAGGGAGCCUAACAAAGGAGUAUUGCAAAAACUCAUGGCGGAGUGGAGGGAGAAUGGUAAGAGACAGUGAAGUAUGAGGCCCACCGCGGGAAGGGCCGGCAGGUCUCGGGGGCCCUAGAUCCACCCAGCACAGGAGAAGCAGCUCUGAGGGCCUCCGAUGCUGCAGCUGAAGGAGAAUCAUUGGCAGGAGUGGGAGCUGACAGAGAAUGAAUGCCUCAACCUUUCUCCUCUCCUACCCUCUGAGCAUCUGUGGGCCCUAAUCUGUUGCCCUAAUUUGGAAAGGGACAGUGUAUUAGUUGUGUAUUGCUGUAUAGCAGAUUGUCACGAGCUUAGUGACUUAAUGCUCACUUAUUAUUUCUGUAGCCUGAGAAUCCCAGCAUGGCUAGGCUGGGACUCUCAAGAUCUCACAAGACACAGUUGAUACUGGCCAGGGCUGGAGCCUUGCUAAGGCACAGAAUCCUGUUCCACACUCAUGUGGUUACUGGAUGAAUCUACUACCUUAUAGCUGUAGGACUUUUUCAUGAUCACUUCUUUCAUCAAGCCAGCAGGAGACCACCUGACUAUGAGACCCUCUCGGCUGAGUAUAUUAGGCUGUCCUAAUACCAUCAACAUUUUGAGUAAUUCGUAUUCAGUUGCUUAGGAAUAUUACUUACAUCUGCAAAAACCACUUCACUGGUAUGUGUAGCAUACCCUAUAAUGGGAAUAAAAUCCUAUCGUGUUCAUAGAUAAAUUCUUACUCAGGACCAGGGAAGCAAGACAUGGAAUACACUUAAUGAUAUCAGCACUCAGAGAGGCUGAGGCAGAGCACACAUCUGAGCUCAAUAUGGGCGGCUUGGUAUUUUGUGAGACCCUGUCUCAAAUGCUUAAGACAGCUGGGGAUAUAAGGCCCUAAAUUUAAUCCCAGUACAAAAACAAACCAAAACAAAAACAAAACGCACAAUGUAGUAUACUGAGUCUAUGAAGCAGACUCUGGGAGUCCCAAAGGACACAAAGCAAGGCACAAAGCAAGACAGAGUGUAGUGGGGUGGAAAAAGAAUAUCCAGCAGAGGAAGAUGUGAUGGUAAGCAGACUCCAAGACCUUGAGACUCACAAUUGUGAGCCUAAUGAGUUUGUGCUCUAUCCUGUGUAAGUGGACCACUGUGUAAGGAUUUUACUGAUGUGCUUAGAAUGUGCAUUAGGAAGCAUAAUGUCACACUCAGUAAUAAGGAGGAAGGAAGUAUAAAAAGAAAUUGUAGACCAAGAUACCAGUGAGUAGCUUUUAUAACUAUAUCCACAAGUGGCUACAGAGGUCUACAGUCCACAUAGAAAUUAAGGCCACAUGAAAGCUCAGCAGAGAUCUGCUGAGAAGGGUGUGGCAUGUGAGUGUUGAAGCUUUGGAGACAGGAAGAAUGGAAUAUUUGUAGGGACAGAGGCUGCAUGGCAAAAAAUACCCAACACACACACACACACACACACACACACACACACACACACGCACACAACAAUGCAACAGCAACAAAAAGGUAGUAGAAGAGCACUUAACAAAGAUCGGUAUGAACAGAAGCCAAAUGGGAGGCUCAGGUUUUAAAAGAACCAAUGAGCCUCUGGUUAGAUAUCCUCAUGGAAAUCUAGAACAGGUCCCUAGACAUUAGGCAGGAGUUUAGGGAAUUUCAGGUUAGCGAAUGGAGUUGUGGCGUUGUGUGCUAAGGCUUAAUCAUUGGAACAGAAAGAUGUUAUUAUUUAGAUCUAGCAUGUCUCCUAAUCUUAUUUGCUCAGAGGGGGGCUUUUGAAGGUGAUGGGCUCUGGGGGCACUAUAUGCUACUAUUUAGUUUAUAGGUAAAUGUGCUUAAGAAGGUGUGGCUUGUUGGGAAGAAGUGGGUCACUGGGAGCGUGAUCUGGAAGGGUACUUCUGCCCUUCUAGCUCCUCUCUUCUCUCUCUGUGCUUCCUGGCCACCAUGACAGGAGCAGUUUUUCUCCGCAGCAGGCCCUUACAGCGUGCCAUUUCUGCCCUGGAGUCAGCCAAGCAUGGAUUGGAACUUCUGCAACUGUAAAUCUUUCCUCCUUUAAAAUGCAGCUGUCAGAUGCAGGUCCCCAUGAUGAAGAAAGUGAUUGUAACAAAAGAAUUAGCAAGCAAAGCCAUAGAUGUCACUUUCAAAGUGUUCACAGAAGUGAAAAAAAAAAGACUUUGAUAAUCUGUCAUGGAAAGCAGAAGAAGAGAGUUUUCAGAAAAGGCCCAUCAAUAGUCUUAAAUGAUGAUGACCAGGGAACAAUAGAGUUAUGAUGUUUCUAAAUCACAGAUGCAGAAGAAAAAUAAAAGAAGAAGACCACAGGGGAUUCAGACAGAACCCUUUAGAUUUAUCUAGCAACUGUCACUAAUGCCUUCAAUAGGAUAGCCACAAAUCUUUAUCCUCAAAUAGCUUUUUAAACUCAGACUUUGUGGUAGAAACCCAACAUCACCUAGAUAUUUGCAAAACUGUGAAAAAUACUGAGAUUUUUAUGCUUAGUGACUCACUCAAGAUAACUUUCUGUCUAGUAUAUCACCUCAGCUUCCUACUCUUUGUAUUUCUUAGUGGACAGAGCUAUGCAGAAAGGUGACUUUACAAACGAUGCGGACCUAAGGUCUCACCUGUGAGGACCUGUUGAUGUCUUAGCUUUUUAUCAGGACUUGACAGAGGUCUAUGAGAAAGCUCAUCGUCUCCAAACCAGAACACAGCUGCUCCAGAGAGUUUGUUCUGAAAGACAAGUGAGAUGAAAACAAAGAUAAAGAAUUUUUAAAGAUAUCAGAUAGCUGGAAAUGUCCUUAUCUGAUCCAGAACAUCUACUAUCAUACAUACGCAGGGCUUUGAACUGACAACUAGCCAUAAAUGAGAUGAAUUGGUAAGUGCAUUUAUAAUGAUUUGAAUGUUUAGCAAAAUAAGGUCUUGUUUCAGUCUGACUUGAUCUUAAGCUCCCUAUUUCAGGUCCCCCAGAUCAUCUCACUUGAUUUCCCAAGAGGAACUCUGAAUCCCACAAGAAAGGGCUCUUUUGGUCACCUACAUGUUGCAUUCAUUUGUAUUCUUUUGCCUUCUUUAUAGCUUUUGGGGACAUUUACAUUUUUUACCACAGUCUCAAUCAUAGUGUAUCUUUUGAUUUUAUUGGAUAAGUAGGAAGAUCAAAUAAUCUAUCAUCUAAACAGGUACCUUUUUUUUAGCAAGAAAUAAGAAAGUCUUUGUUAUGGCUUGUGACUAGAUUUCUCCCCAAAGCUUGAUGCAGUCACGGGUGGGGCUUUUUUCAGAGGUGGCUGAAUCUACAGUGGGAUUGCUCAUGGUGCAAUUCUAGGAUUAAGGGUGAGUGGUUACUAAAUCAGUCCAAAAAUUGUUUUGGCACCACCCUGAGCCCAGUACUCCGAGAGACAGAAAGAGGCUUGUCUUGUCCUUUAUUGUUUUGCUACCUUCCACCCACCAUAAACUGUUUCUCCUCCACAAUGCCUGUCUGCCAUGCCACCCUGCCUUGAGGCAGCCAAUUAUGGACUGAAACCUCUACAAACUGUGAGUUAAAGAAACCUUCCUUCCUUAACUUGUGAGUGUUAAGUAUUUUGUCUCAGCAAGAAGAGAAAAAUAACUAAGACAAAAUUUGGUACCGGAUGAGUGGAGUUAUCUAUGACUACAUCAGACCAUGUGGUUCAGAAGCCUUUGGGACUGGCUUAUGGAAGGAGUUUGGAAAGAUUCAGACAUUCCAGCUGAAUGUAUUUGAUGGCUGUACUUGAUGGGAAAUUCCAGUCAGAAGACCAGAAGCCUGAUAAAAAUGUUGCUGGUAAAGAGUGGGCUCAGAUGGUUCCUGCUAGGAAGAAGGGCAGCAUUGGCUGUUGAAGUGCAGAGCACGUGUGUUAUGGCUUGGCAGAAAAUUAGUCUACAUUUUCCUCAUGCCCAGAGACUUUGCCUGAGACCAAGGUUAAGGGCAGUGGACUAAAUAGUGUUGCAGAAAAUGUUUCAAAAGAGUCUCAUGUUGAGGCCAUAGCAUGACUACUUUUGGAAACUUUAACCCAGAUUUAUGUUGAGAAUCAAGAGUGAAGAGCUCAGAAAAAGGAGUCAAAAUUUUGUGAUUUUGGCCAGAAAGGAAGCUUCAGUAAAGGAGCAGCCUAUAAAGAUGGAACAGAGGAAAAAUUGGUCACUGGAAGCACUAUCAAGAAAAAGACGAGUUUGUGAGAAGAAAACAACAGAAAAGAUAGACUGAGAACAAUACAAGAGGACUCCAAUCUUUGCAGCCUCAGAGUUGUAAAAGGGAAAGACUGCUUUGAGAAGGGAGUCACAGAGGAUCACAUUCUAAAAUGAAAGUAGUUAGGGUAUUCAUUCCUUGGGAUUUGGUUCAGAGUGCUCAGAGAUACAGGCACUCAGCCCUACACCCAGGAAAGAAGGUAGCCUGACUAUUGCUCCCUCUGGUAGCAAAUCCUGGCAUCACCCACAUGAUUCUGGUUUUAGGUGCAUGCAGAACGCAAGAGUUAUAUUGUCAGGAAGGCUUCUACCCAUAUUUCAGAAUGUCUGAGAGGUCAGCCAGUGUGCCCUUGAGAGGGUAGUGUGUGAAGUUGGGAGAGUGAAGCCAGAGGUGCAAGGGAGACUGCAAAUAUUUGGAGAAGCCAGGUACACGGAAUGUUGGAGGAUAGCUGUAAGGAGGGUGCAGAGCUGGUCCAAGAGAGAAACCAUAGGAGCUAUUUCCAUCAGAAAUGCUGUACAGGCAGAGCCACUCAAGCCCUUUGGAGUUCACCUCUUGCUAUAGACUGCCUCCCAUGCUGUUCAUGGAAAUAUAGGGCUUAAUGUUUGCCCUCCUGGAUUUUGGACUUACUUUGGUCCCAUUCCUUUGUAUUUGUAUCUUUUGGAAUGGUAAUGUCUAUUUUGUGCCAUUGAAUAUUGGAAGUGUUUAACUUUCUUUUCAUUUGUACAGCGACUAGCAGCUACCAUUCUGCCUUAAGUCUCAGAAAAGACUUUGGACUUUGUCUUUUCAGCAAUGCUGAAACUGUUAGGGCUUUGGCAAUUCUUGGAGAUGGACUAAAUUCAUUUUGCAUAGAAGGAUGUGUGUGUCUUACAGGUGAAAUGUUAUGGCUUGGGUCUAGUUGUCCUCCCAAAGCCUCAUGCAGUCAUGAGUGGAGCUUUUUCAGAGGUGGCUGAAUCUGGAGUGGGAUUAAUUCAUGGUCAAUUCCAGGACUAAAGGUGCCAGGAUUAAAGUGAUCAUGAGGUCAUGCUGCAGCCCAGAUGUAGCCUACACAUCAAUGUCUCCCAGGACCUCUUCAACAUUGACUGCGACAGUACCUACCUGAUUGCCAAAUAAGGACUUUUUCUCAUCUGGUGCAAUUUGCCCACUUGCACUGCUGGUCAGAUAUACUAGGGAGCUAGCACCUCCAAUGGUAGCUCUCCACUAAUAAUCAAGAGUCCACUAUACCGAUAAGUAGGAUAACUCUAAACUGCAUAGCCUAGAGGACCCCAGUGUUUCAACCAGCCACAUGAUGACUGGCAUGGUAAUAUACACUUGAUAGAAUUCUUGCUUUUCCCUGCCUCUUCUUUUUCUGUAUAAUUUUGUUUUUUCACAUUCUCCUAACCUUCCCCAAUCCUUGACAACAAGCUAGCUUCUGGAGGAACUCAAAAUAAAUGCUGGAUAUUCUACUGACUUGAGAUAGUGUCUCUCAAAAUUUAAGUUGCAUUUUACUUUGCUGAGAAUGAAAUAAAACUAUUGACUUUAGAGACGUA